rnacentral:lncRNA from 1 species
AGUAACACUCUGGGAGGGCUCAGGCCACAUCACGAAAUGUGACAGGAUAGCCUUGAACUCAUCAAUUGCUGGGUAAGAAAGAAUUUUAAUGCAAUGGCAAACAACCAAUCAAACAAGCAAACAAAAACAAUAAACCCUUCCUUGAGGACCAAGAAGACAUUGAUUAGCUAACCUAAGAGCUCCAGGUGGAGACCUAGGUCCUGAUUGGGUUUCUGAAUUUGACCACUAGGCAGAAAACUAGCACCCAAAACCAGUUGGAAUAAAAUUACCCACCUACAGUGGAGCCAAGGCCCCCAGAUCCUUUUUGUCAGGGGCACCUCAAACUCAACUCCAAAAUUGAUCUAAUGAACUUUCCCAAACCACAUUCCCUUCUUGCAUUUCUGAGAGAAUGGAUUCCCAUUCAUCUGACUACAGUGCUACCCUGAAAGCAGAUCCAGAGACUAAGAUUCACCUGCAGGUGAUUCAUUUGCUCAGCAUGAUGUAAACUCCACUGCGGACAGAUGCAGCCAAGAAGACAGGUCACCUUCUACCAACUCCCACCAGAGGAAACUCUUCCCCAGGACCCAGUACGUUGGCCCUCUGACCCUGCACACAGCACAUGAUGCUGAGGUUCAGUGCUGAACAAGAGCUACUGAGAGCCAGAGAUUCACUUCUUCCAUGGAGCCCCACUCAUGGAUGGAGGCUCUGUCCCGGGUCCAGUGCCACUGGGAACACUGGGUCUCUGGUUUCUAGCUCUGUCCUAUGGCAGAGGUUCCACCCCACAAUAACCGAAGUGCUGAGAAGGUGGGAAGCUCCUGCCCGACCCUCCACUGAGAGCUCAGCUCCUAGGCUGAGGAAUAAAACAGCUCAACUUUGUCUACACCUGCAGAACCUUGUUUAGGAGCUCUGUCCCAGGAGAGAGGGGGCAAUGGAAUUCAGUCAUAAAAUAUGAUCCUUAAUUAGUCCUAAAAAUCCUAACUUCAGUAACAGCAGAUUGUGGACAAAUUGAAAGCCUGCCAGUGCUCUCAAAAACAGUGGAUGGUGUGGUGGAAAGCCCUUGGAAGGAGACGGGUGGAUGCAUGGGAGAUGCAGGCUACACUGCAGGGCUGCUGGCUUGCAGGAGAGAACCGAGGACAAGGGAGAGCUGGGGAAAGUUCUCUUGUGGUUGAAAUAAAUGCCAGACACUCUUCAAUG